UCUAAUAUGCAUUACAGUGCAUAAGGCGGCAGAGACGGGCGUGCCCAACGGAGAGCUGUACGUAAAAAUCUGCUUAGAUAAAAUGACCAAAAAUACGAAAACUCAAACGAACUCCGAGAAUCCAUUCUUUAAUGAGUAUUUUGUAUUUGAGUUCCACUGUACGCUCGCUGAGCUGUUGCGUCUGACUGUGCUCUUUGAGCUGAAAAGGUAUUUGAUGUACAAGAAGAACACGAACAUGGGUGAACUGAUGAUUGAUUUGCAUAGCGUGUGGAAUCAGCCCAAUCACUGCUACUUCAAGCGAUGGGGUCGACUCGAGGCGCCUCUGGGGGAGCAUCCCUUCAAGGGAGGCGAGCGCGAAUCGUGUGGCUAUCUGCAAAUCGACUUGGCCAUCGUCUCGCAGCACAGCGCUGUGAAGACAACUCCAACUGCAGAUGAACCUGAGGAGCUGAUCAAAUGGCCAACGCAUCAUGACUUUGACGAUAUCAAGAGCAAUCUCUUAGAGGACGUCGAUUCGGAUACCCUGAGAAACAUUCGUUACUUCAUCAGCUUCUAUCGUGGCAUCUUCACGAAGCGGAGUAACUACAUGAUACAAGUAUCAUUCGCUGGCUUCAAAGGCAAAACGGCUGUGCAGAAGAAUACAUUGACACCGGUGUGGAAUCAGGAGAUUAGUUUUGCAUGGGUCUUUCCCUCUCUGGCCCAGCGAUUUCUCAUCUUGGUUAUGAUGCAGGAGCACAUGCAAUGGAAAUGUAUAGCGCAAUAUGAUAUGUCUUUCGAUGAAAUUGCUUUUGAAGACAAGCCCUCGUUUGGACCAACUUAUUUGCAUCUGUACGAUCCUAUCGGUCCGUUGAACUAUGUGGGUCGCGUUCUGUUGGAGUUGCGCUCUGAAACUCUACAGGAAGGUCAUCCCACGCACGUUUUGAUUACCGAAUCGGUGACUCCUCCAGCCAACUGGUCAGAUCAGUCUUUUAUUGUGGAGUUCCUGCCAAUUCUCGGAGAUAAUAUACCCACCAGCUCGCAGCAGUAUAAAUUUGUUGUCCAGCUUGCGGAGUUUUUCUCGAAUGAGCUAGAGGGGCCAUUGAGGGCGCCAUCGGGAAAAUUUCGUUCGCAAACGAAAUCCUUUCGCCAGGAAUCGCCUUAUCAGUCUUGUAUAUUCCGUAUCCACCUGCCCGAUAAUCGCAUCAAAUUUGAAGCGGAUUUCUUUAUGACUGAUAUAGCCAACUAUAUGCGCUCUGAGCUGGCCACCUUUAAGAUCUUUCAGCUCAAAUACCCCAAUCACAUACAACAUCAGACCAAAUGCCUGAAGUCCAUUAUCCAUAGCUUCCUUUCAAAAAUCGAAGAAAGCGUGGGUUUGCACCGCUUCGACUACGAUAUGGGGGAGGAGUGCACCACCUGGGAUUUGAAUAGACAGCAAUACGUGCUGUCUUACUUCAGAAAGGUGCCCCAGGAGCUGCGCUCGUUGCGACAGAGACUGAAGUCGAGCUACUCCUCGAAUAUGGAUUCCACCAUAAUGGACAUAGUUAACGAACUGCACCGUGUAAUUGGGGAAAUCAAUUCGCUGUCUAAUUUAAUGCACGUGCAGGACGAAUGGCCGGAGCUGCUGCUCACCCUGAGUGCAGGGGGCAAACAGAUUGGGUUCUGUCACCUGAAUGCCAAACACUUCCUGAGUCUGCAAAAGCGGGAAGUCAACCAGGCGAGCAAUCAUUGCUGGCGCAUGAAGAGCUUCUUCUUCAAGAGCAGCAGCUGCUCGCACACCUGCUCCAACUGUGGCUGCAAUGCUGGCCUCGUCCUCGGCUGUAUCGCAAUAGUGCUCGAGAGUGAGCGGCACGAGUUCCUGUCCCGCAUUGCGGGUGAGUGGUCCUCGCCCUCGCCCUACACUUGGCUGCCGAAUGUGGGGCAAACGUUCUUCCGCUGUCAUAUCUAUGUGCAUCAGGCGAAGAUACGGCCGGGCAGCGAUAAUAAGGUCGAGUGCGAUGGAUAUGUGCGCGUUAUCUUUGCAUCGCAGGUGGCUGAGACGGACACAGCUAAGAGCAUCUGUUCGCCCAUCUGGGAUGCUGUGAUCACCGUGAAUGGCGUGUCCCUGCCGGGCGGCGUCAGCUGGUAUCUGCAGAAUCCGCCGCUGCUCGGCUUGGAGCUCUUCAACUGUCAGCAGGAGUCAGUGGGCACUGGGCAGAUCAAGGCAAAUGUCAUCACGGCGGAGCAGAGCGAUGAGAGCAGCCGCGGCGAUGAAAGCAAGUAUUUGGCCCAAGGUACUCUUCAGAGGCUCAAAACGCUGAGGAAUGUCAGUCCGCCUCCUCUUAAGUGGGUUUCCAUUGCCAAAAAUGGAAGAGUCCAGGCUGAACUGUUAAUGUCGGUGGAAUUGAAGCAGCUGGUAGGCGAUACGCAGAUCUUUGAGUAUAAGGAACCGGAGCUGACGGCAGGCAUACCUCCCUCUAUACGACCCAAUAUGCUCAACUACGUGCUCGAGAUUAUUUUUGUUGGACUGCGCAACUAUACUAAGGUGGGCAUGUGCAUGGCGGGCAAGCGACGGGCCAAGGUCAUCAUGGCGGAUCUGGUCUUAACUAGUGGACUCUCUACCUCGCGGGUGAGGAACAGCAUCAACUUCCUGGUGGCCUACGCCUCCGGCGUUGUGAGCCUGCCCGAUCAGCAGGAAUACUGGCCGGCUAUAAUAGCCACGGAUGUUUUGGCCAGCAGCUUCUCCCAUGAGUCUACCUUAGGCGCUGCCCUAAUACCCCCCUCGCCAAACUUUCUGCAAAAAGAUCGACUGAACAAAUGCAUGCGAAAGCCGGUCGAAAGUCCCGGUACCAAUUCAAUAAUUGUUAUAAAUCAAGACGAAACGACGGAGGACGACGACAGAAAUAUUCCAGUGGAGGAGGGGCCCGUCUUCUGGAAGCGUCUGAAGAUCAUGUUGGGCUUACGAUCCGCCCCCUAUGCCAACAAGAAUCUACUUAGACUAGAGGAUUGCAGGGACUUGACUGAAGUCGUGGAUAGUCGAUUCACGUGGUGGACCAAGUUCUACAACUCCAUGUGGAUUGGAAACGACGAUGGAUUGCAUAAAUGCAAGCACAAACUGGUCAUCUACAGUACAGAGCUCGAGAAGCAGCCUCAAUUCAGUUACUUUCAGGAUUGGGCUGUGCCCGUGCCCCUGGUGCAUGGCGUCAAGAUGAAGAAGCAUGGACCCCCUAAAGAGGACGUCUAUGCCAUACUGAAGCUGCAGAUUAAGCUGACGCCCUGUGAGAGUGCGAAGACUGAGGAUGGAGUUGGCGAUGGGGAAGUGUUGCUGCCAUUGCCGGCUGCUCUAAGUCCGCGUGAUCAGAGCCUAAUCAAAUCGCUGACCGAUGUAGUCAAACUGACAGUCAGGGUUUACGUAGUACAGGGUCUCCAAAUCCGGCCUAGAGAUUGGUUUACCGACUCGGAUACGUAUGUGCGCCUCACACUGGGCGGCAAGAUGAUCUCAGAUCGUGCACACUAUGUGCCCAACCAGAGUAAUCCAGUCUUCGGGCGUUUCUUCGAGCUAAGCACAACGCUGCCCGCCGAUCCCAUGCUGGAGCUGGCCCUGUUCGAUCAUGACAAGCGCAAAGACGGAAACAUAGGCUACACUCUCAUCGAUCUGGAGGACCGCUGGCACAGCAAGCAUCGCGCCACAUUGGGCAUUCCACUGGAGUACUCACGCUUCGGCUACAACCAGUGGAGGGACCCUCUGCUGCCCUCCCAGCUGCUUGCGGAGCUCUGCCAGCAGCGAGGCAUUCCGCCUCCCUAUUACUAUGGCAAUGUCAUCGAGGUGGAUGGCACGCUCUUGGGCGAUGAGACCGUCAUUUCAAACGGAGGAGCUGAAGGAGCGAUUGAGCCUGACGGCCCUCAACAAUCUGGAUAAGCUGCCUUCCUUUGGCUACAAGCUGGUGCCGGAGCAUGUCGAAACACGUUCCUUAUAUAACGACGAUAGUCCCGGAAUCUUGCAGGGCAAAAUCCAAAUGUGGUUAGAGCUGUAUGAGGCGAGCAUGUUUUUGCCACCGCCCGUGGACAUUACACCCGUGCCCCCCUAUGACUAUGAGGUGCGUGUUGUGGUCAAAAGUUUGCGCGAUAUUCAGUUUGGAGAUAAAAACAUUUUCGGCAAAUUAAUGAGCGAUAUUUAUGUGAU
rnacentral:misc_RNA from 1 species